rnacentral:misc_RNA from 1 species
UUUUUUUUUUUUUUUUUUAGCUUAUAAGUUCAACUUAUAAGUCUAAAAAUUAUUAUAAACAAACAGAUCAGCCUAUUUUUAGAGCUUAUAGGUUAAGACAAAUACCCUCUUACUUCCCUACCUACUUUCCCUUGAAAUGUUCAUACUGGAUAGAACAUAGCAUAUUCGUUUGUCCAAAAUGCUAUUACAGUGAACUGAGAUGACUAUGAAACAUCAUUUGUAAGCCAGAGCAAAUAAGAAUGCCUUGAUAGCUUUGGAUGGCAUCAUUUGUAAUCAGGAGCUCAUUUUGUUUCUGCAAAAGAUCUUACAAGAUAAUUAUGCCAUGGCCCUCUGUGGCUGUGGGACCAUAAUUAGGUAUUGCCUUUUUAACUAAACUAUCAUUCAUCAAACAAGCCUAGUGAUGACAUAUCUUCCUCAGUGAAAGUAUUCAUCAAACAAGUCUCCCUUUUCUUAGUGUGUGUAGAUUUAGCUCCUUAGUCAAUGUGUUUACGAGGCUUUUUUUAAUUCCAUGUUUCAUGUAUAUGAUUAUUAUUCAAAGGAAUAUUUUCACUAUAAUCCUAAAUUUUGCUUCUAAAACUAUUAGUAACAUAAUUUGUUAGUGAUCCAUUUCUUCAAUUGAGUUGAGAAUGUUUCAUUUCUAUUUUUUAAUGAGGAUAAGUUUCUGAAAAAUGCUUCCAUCAAAGUAGUAUUUAUUCAAGGUCAAUUUUCCAUAAUUGUCUUUCUUUAUAAUAAAAUAUUCAUCUUAAAGUUGUGUUUAUUGUGUUCCUGAGUUCUAUGUGUUACUAGAUGCUCCAUUUUAAUUUAUAUGUUCUUUCUUUCUGUAGGAAAGCCACUCAAAAGCUUGCCAGAUCUGCUCCGAGAGUACAACUUACCACCUGGUCUCUUUCCCCAGAACAUAAUCUGUUAUGAAUUUGAUGAGUCAAAGGCAAAGCUGAUUGUGUACUUGCCUUCUGUAUGUGAGGUCAGCUUCAAGGACUCUUCUGUAUUGAGGUAUGCAACUCGAGUAAAAGCCAUCCUCAUGAGAGGAAAGCUCACAGGUAUAGAGGGAAUGAAGACGAAGGUCCUUGUAUGGGUUAAGGUCACAAGUGUGGCAGUUGAAGGCUACAAGUCUGAUAAGGUGUGGUUUACAGCCGGUGUCAAGAAGUCCAGACCUAGAAUUGCAUAUGAUGUCCCACAGGCUGCUGUCAGAGUAGAUGAAUUUUGAGUUAAAACAUAUAUACUUUCUUCCAUUGAUGAUGAAAAAUCCUAGUAAUAUUUUGGCAGAUUAAACAUAACAUCAUAGGUUGGUGGCUAGUGUAAAAUUCACUCAUUUCUUAUGAUGUGAAUACUUAUGAUUAAGCAUAAUAUCAUGCUUUUUCUCAUUGCGAAAUGCAAAUUUUAGUUGCCUCUGUACUGGCUUUAAAAUGUGGAGCUUUUUCUUUUGUUUUUGAACUGACUUAAGUUGUGGAGCUUGAGCAUGCAAUUCAAUUGGGAGCCAUGUCAGGUGUGC